rnacentral:rRNA from 1 species
GAACUGAAGAGUUUGAUCAUGGCUCAGAUUGAACGCUGGCGGCAGGCCUAACACAUGCAAGUCGAGCGGAUGAGUGGAGCUUGCUCCAUGAUUCAGCGGCGGACGGGUGAGUAAUGCCUAGGAAUCUGCCUGGUAGUGGGGGACAACGUUUCGAAAGGAACGCUAAUACCGCAUACGUCCUACGGGAGAAAGCAGGGGACCUUCGGGCCUUGC